rnacentral:rRNA from 1 species
AGAAGGGCARCUGWCMGCCUGCCGCGUGUGUGAAGAAAGGCCUUCGGGUUGUAAAGCACUUUCAGCGAGGAAGAACGCCUUGGGAUUAAUACUCUCGAGGAAAGACAUCACUCGCAGAAGAAGCACCGGCUAACUCCGUGCCAGCAGCCGCGGUAAUACGGAGGGUGCAAGCGUUAAUCGGAAUUACUGGGCGUAAAGCGCGCGUAGGUGGCUAAGUCAGCCAGGUGUGAAAGCCCCGGGCUCAACCUGGGAACGGCAUCUGGAACUGCUUGGCUAGAGUGCAGGAGAGGAAGGUAGAAUUCCCGGUGUAGCGGUGAAAUGCGUAGAGAUCGGGAGGAAUACCAGUGGCGAAGGCGGCCUUCUGGACUGACACUGACACUGAGGUGCGAAAGCGUGGGUAGCAAACAGGAUUAGAUACCCUGGUAGUCCACGCCGUAAACGAUGUCAACUAGCCGUUGGGUCCCUUGAGGACUUAGUGGCGCAGCUAACGCAAUAAGUUGACCGCCUGGGGAGUACGGCCGCAAGGUUAAAACUCAAAUGAAUUGACGGGGGCCCGCACAAGCGGUGGAGCAUGUGGUUUAAUUCGAUGCAACGCGAAGAACCUUACCUACCCUUGACAUCCAGAGGACUUUCCAGAGAUGGAUUGGUGCCUUCGGGAACUCUGAGACAGGUGCUGCAUGGCUGUCGUCAGCUCGUGUUGUGAAAUGUUGGGUUAAGUCCCGUAACGAGCGCAACCCCUAUCCUUAUUUGCCAGCGAGUAAUGUCGGGAACUCUAAGGAGACUGCCGGUGACAAACCGGAGGAAGGUGGGGACGACGUCAAGUCAUCAUGGCCCUUACGGGUAGGGCUACACACGUGCUACAAUGGCAAGUACAAAGGGUUGCAAUACUGCGAAGUGGAGCCAAUCCCAUAAAGCUUGCCUCAGUCCGGAUUGGAGUCUGCAACUCGACUCCAUGAAGUCGGAAUCGCUAGUAAUCGUGGAUCAGAAUGCCACGGUGAAUACGUUCCCGGGCCUUGUACACACCGCCCGUCACACCAUGGGAGUGGACUGCACCAGAAGUGGUUAGCCUAACCUUCGGGAGGGCGAUCACCACGGUGUGGUUCAUGACUGGGGUGAAGUCGUAACAAGGUAACCA